UCUUAGGAACUUCAUAUAUAGAUAUACAUUGUACAAGAAUGACUCAAUGAAAUCGAUAUUUUUCAAACUUGCCAUGUAUGCAUUGUUUAAUCAAUUAUAUUACAGAUAUGUAUAUCCUUCUUUACUCUCUUAUUUGUUAUGGAUUCAACACUGUUGCAUCAUCUUCCCCUGGUCAGUCAUGUUGGGAGACCUACAAGUUAAAUAAGGACAUUGAGAAUAUAUGUCAUCUACUAGAAGAAUAUGUCGUAUGUUAUUUAGGAGAACUGGGAGGUAUAUAUAAUGAGACGUUUGAGAGAUUUUUGUGUCAGGAGGUUCAACUGUCCAGUGAUCUUAUACAGUGUUUGCAAGAUCUUCAAAAUACAAUUAAUGAACAUGCCGACCACACUGGCAGACUACAGCAAGUGGUGAAGGAUAUGAGGCUUCAUGGAGUUCUUCUUUAUGUACUCAUCAUCAUCAUCAUUAUAGCGAGUUUGUUACUUCGCAUUAACAUUUCAGUUCCAGUUGCUCUAUCCCUAUUCAUAGUGUGCAUUGCUGUGAUGAAUCAUUUGCAAGUGACUGUGCGAGACGUAAAUAUGACACUUAAUUGUGGUUAAUAACAUCGUGCAUAUUUUGUCAAAUAAACCGGUCAAGCAUGUAGUUAAAUAAUGUGUUGAUGCUUAUUGCAAUAGUUUUUCACAGCUUUAUAAUUUUGUAUGUAGAAUGCUUAACAAUAACAGGUUUCGGAUGUUCCUUUAGAUUUGAAGAUAAUCUACUUCCUAGUCCAAACCUCCCGCAGAACGAUGGGUGAUGGCAGAGGGCAGGGUAUUUACCCUGGACCAUCGAGUCGAUAGAACGACAGGCAAGCGCGCAUACAACAUGACCAGUACUGUAUUGUACUGUGGACUCAUCACUGUCAUUCUAAAAACUACAGUUUACAGACCGACAGGACAUAAACUGCUUGUUACUGUAACAUGUAAAAAUAAAAUGAUUUAAGACAUUAGUAGACUCGAUAGUAACAUCAAACUUCAACUGAAUAGAGGCCUACCAGGUGGUCUGUUUCCAGGUUACACUCUGUUGAUUAUAUAAACUCUUUUAGACGUGACGGUUACACUCUAUUGAUUAUAUAAACUCUUUUAGACGUGAUCAAACUAUUUAAUUGUAUCUGUCCAUAGGAAGAUAUCAAACCUUGCUAUAAGCACUGUGAACCUAAGUACUUGUGUGCAAGUUAAGAAGAAAAACUAUUUCAAUGUAGUAGAGCUGUUUAACUUAUAAGUUGUCGAUUAUGUUCAGAGUUGAAUACAAAAUGUUGGCGAGUUCCUGUGGUCUAUUGUAUGUUAUAAACUAGUUCCUGUGGUCUAUUGUAUGUUAUAAACUAGUUCCUGUGGUCUAUUGUAUGUUAUAAACUAAGUCCGACUUGGCCCUGUUCAACUCACAUAAUAUCCAACAGAAACUACAGGGGAAACGAUGGUUUUAUUGUGCUAUACAGAAGAGAGAAUACUGCGAACGAAAGAGUAGGGUAUGGGUCUGUACUCUGUAGUGGCCCUAAGUGUUCAUUGUAAACAAGAUCUAUUUAGAACAAAAAUAGAAAAACGUAGAAAAUGGGGGAGAGGGAGGUUCUUGGCUUUCAAUUUGCUUGUAACAUGUCCACCUUUUGUUGAUGGAUUGCACACAGUCAUUUCACUUGUGAGAUGCAUGUCCCUCAGUACAUUGUAACAUGUCCACCUUUUGUUGAUGGAUUGCACACAGUCAUUUCACUUGUGAGAUGCAUGUCACUCAGUACAUUGUAACAUGUCCGCCUUUUGUAGAUGGACUGCACACAGUCAUUUCACUUGUGAGAUGCAUGUCACUCAGUACAUUGUAACAUGUCCACCUUUUGUUGAUGGAUUGCACACAGUCAUUUCACUUGUGAGAUGCAUGUCCCUCAGUACAUUGUAACAUGUCCGCCUUUUGUUGAUGGAUUGCACACAGUCAUUUCACUUGUGAGAUGCAUGUCACUCAGUACAUUGUAACAUGUCCACCUUUUGUUGAUGGAUUGCACACAGUCAUUUCACUUGUGAGAUGCAUGUCCCUCAGUACAUUGUAACAUGUCCGCCUUUUGUUGAUGGAUUGCAGACAGUCAUUUCACUUGUGAGAUGCAUGUCACUCAGUACAUUGUAAACAAUUGGAUAGUAAAAAAUAUGAAAAUCAGCCUUUACACUGCACAUCUUUAUAGGACACAACUCCCAUAGUAUAACCCUAACCGUGCUGCUGCGAGUGGAGGGUAUUGAAAGCAAAUAAAUACAAAGAAAAUCAUUGUAUAAGAUCCUAAUUUCAUAAAAUAGAAAGUGUUGAAAAGUUUUGUUUUGUAAAAAAUAUUGGACAAUCUAUGAAGUAAUGUGUUAUACUAUUUGAUAUAAACUUUUUACAUGUAAAUUAUGAGUGAGUCUGGUGUGAAUGUAUAUUUUGUUUUUUAUAGUUAUAAUGUUUUGUUUGGUGUAAUGCACAAAUUGUAAGACAAAUUUCCUUAUGGAUAAUAAAGAUUAUUAUUAUUAAUAUACAA